AUAUUUAAAGACAGGUAUUGUUAUUGUGUCUAUGAUCUUUCCUCUUAAACAUGGUUCUUCUUAAGGUUGAAAGAAACAAGGAUAUUUCAUCUGAUUUUCCUCUGCUUGCUUGUUUGUGUGUUUUAUCAGAUCUGUGUUUAAGAAUGCAUUUUCCUUCAUAUUUCCAAACAAACCUCUAGUUUCUCACAGUGUCACUGUAUGCUGAAUGUAAAGCAGAUGUAUAAGGGGUCCUUUUAACACCUGACUCACAUACUGCUCUGAAGUAACAAUAGACUUGAGGCUGUGGCUCAGUUGCUCAGGGGUGGCUGCCUAGCACGCAUAAGCCCUGGAUUCACUCUUCAGCUCUGCAUGCCCCGAAUCCUAACUGACACUCUAGUGAUGGAGUCUGGAGGAUCCGGAGUGCCAGGCCAGCCUGGGCUACAUGCGAUCUCAUCUCAAAUAAAAAAGCAAAGAGAUAAAAUAAGCUUUAUGAAGCAUGGCACUUUUCUUCUAGAGGAGACUUUAAGCAAUAAGCACAGGGUAAGCGAGUGUUCUGCAAAUGGCUGGUAUCCUCUUAAGACUAGAUGAGGACACAGAAGCACAGGGAAGACAAAGGCGGAAGUUGGGGUGACAUGGUGGUAAGGCAGGGAGCACCCAGGUUUGCCAUCAUCCCGCAGACCUACCCAAACUGGAAGAGACAAGGAACUGAACCCAGACUGCAGAAGAAACAGGGUUCUGAACCUCAAUGCCUUGCUCUCAUAGACUGGGCUUUGACCUCUGCUAGAGAACUCCUGUUGUUUAUAGCCACCCAGUUGGGUUUUUGGCAGUUUUCCUGUUCUACAGUUUACAGUUUGUGAUUAAGAGUGACUUUCCUUUUUAAAUAACAAUUAAAACAGGCAAAAACUUCACAGAGCUUUUAAUUGAACAACACAUAUGGUAGGGGUGUUUUAUUUUAUUUUUGCUUUAAAAAAUUGCUUUAAGUUUUCAAGUGAUCAUAAGGAAUUGCUGUUUCUAGAAUCUGAGAUGCCAACUCCUGAGCAUUGCUGCCCUUCUGUGUGUAAGGUGUGCCGUUGUGGCUUGCCUGGGCUUCCUCAUGCAGCCUUCCUCAAAAGCCAACUGUUUCAAGCACCCUGUUAUAUCCCUUUUGCAAUCACUCUCUGGUGCCAGGAAUCCCUUUGCUGGGACUGGUUAACAGAGAGCACAAGUCAGAAUUGAUGAGUUGUACAGUCAUUUCAAAUACCUUUUCCUUUUGUAUCCCCUGGAUUGAAAUUUUUAAACUUGUUUCCAGUAAAUAAGAAAGAUCUCUUAGAUUCCAUUAUAGCUUAUAGGUGUCAAGCUUUAAACAAAUUAACCAAAUCAUGAAGAUGUCAACAGAUUUUGUAUAGAUCUCUCUGAGCCUCUGAUUUUGGCCAAUAUAUACAUGUUACUUUAUUUCUGAUUUUUAAGCUGUUCACGUACCUUGAAGCAGGGAGGGAGAGGUAUAUUGAGUGUGUAUAGAGUUGGGGGAGGGAGGGGAGGUCUUUGAAAAGCCCAGAGCUAGGCAGGGAGCCUGUUAGCUCCUGUGAUCCUGUUGUGAUCCUGUUGUUUUCUCCAUCAAGGCUCUGGGGUUAAGGUUACAAGUAUUUUCAGGAAACUACGCCAGACUUCUCCAGUGAAUGCCAGGAUUUGAAUUCAGGCCUUCUUGCUUAUGCAGCAAGCCCUGAGCUGUUUCUCCAGCCCUGCAUCAUGUACU
rnacentral:lncRNA from 1 species